AUUGAACGCUGGCGGCAUGCCUUACACAUGCAAGUCGAACGGCAGCACGGACUUCGGUCUGGUGGCGAGUGGCGAACGGGUGAGUAAUAUAUCGGAACAUACCCUAGAGUGGGGGAUAACGUAGCGAAAGUUACGCUAAUACCGCAUACGAACUAAGGUUGAAAGCGGGGGAUCUUCGGACCUCGUGCUCAUGGAGUGGCCGAUAUCUGAUUAGCUAGUUGGUGAGGUAAAGGCUCACCAAGGCGACGAUCAGUAGCUGGUUUGAGAGAACGACCAGCCACACUGGAACUGAGACACGGUCCAGACUCCUACGGGAGGCAGCAGUGGGGAAUUUUGGACAAUGGGCGCAAGCCUGAUCCAGCAAUGCCGCGUGAGUGAAGAAGGCCUUCGGGUU
rnacentral:rRNA from 1 species